rnacentral:rRNA from 1 species
AACGUAGGAGGCGAGCGUUAUCCGGAUUUACUGGGUGUAAAGCGCGAGCAGGCGGUGUGGUAAGUGGUGUGUGAAAGCGCCCGGCUCAACCGGGCGAGGACAUGCUAGACUGCCAGACUAGAGGUAGGUAGAGGCGGGUGGAAUUCCGGGUGUAGUGGUGAAAUGCGUAGAGAUCCGGAGGAACACCAGUGGCGAAGGCGACCCGCUGGGCCUGACCUGACGCUCAGACGCGAAAGCAUGGGGAGCGAACGGG